GGUCUCCACCCGGCCCUAUCGUAGGGCUGUCCGCACGACCUAUGGUCUCUUCCCGGGUGCGACUCGGGGAACGUUCCCGGCGGACUUGGCAGGGCCUAGCCACAAGGGGUUAUGAUCCCCGGCGCAGGGCUCGCGCUGCGGUUCCAAGAGGAUGACUGGCCCCUGCCCGCGCCAAACGGUCUUCCCAGGCCCGCAUCUUUGCUUCUGUGAGGAGCGGGACCCCGGAAUGGCCGAGAAGGGCAAUUAAGAGGGCGAGACGGGUCAGAGGACGUCCGCCCUGGCUUCUGAACUGGCCGAGAUGGAGCAGGGUUUCACAUUGGUGACCGGUGCUAUGCUCGCCAGUUAACCGUGGCAGCUUUUCUCUGCGGGCGUAUGUUUUUGGGAAAUGCUGGAAUAGUCGGGGACGCUGAAGUUCUCAAUGUCUUUGUGGGACUCUCCUCUUUCAAGAGAGGGGGACUGAGAAGCAGAGAUUAUGGCUGCUGUGUUUUUUGCAGUUGGACCUUUGGUAAGUCAUUCUCCUCCAUUUCUGAUUGCUCUUUUGUUUUCAGAGCUUA
rnacentral:lncRNA from 1 species